AGAGUAAAUUAUACAGUCGCAUGGGAAACCAUGAGGAAAGUCCGAGCUCCAUAGAGCAGGGUGCCGGGUAAUACCCGGUGAGGGUGACCUUAAGGAUAGUGCAACAGAAAUAUACCGCCUCCUAGGAGGUAAGGAUGGAAAGGUGAGGUAAGAGCUCACCAGCAAUCAGGCGACUGAUUGGCUAUGUAAACCCCACCCGGAGCAAGACCAAGAAAGGACUAUAGGUGUGGCUGCUCGUCACAGUCCAGAUGGUAGGUCGCUUGAGUUUGUCGGUAACGACAAACCUAGAUAGAUGACUGUUUAAUACAGAACUCGGCUUAUGUAUUUACUCAAUUA
rnacentral:RNase_P_RNA from 1 species